rnacentral:rRNA from 1 species
CUACACAUGCAAGUCGAGCGGCAGCAGGCCCUUCGGGGCGCUGGCGAGCGGCGGACGGGUGAGUAACACGUGGGAAUCUGCCCAUCGGUGGGGGACAGCCCGAGGAAACUCGGAUUAAUACCGCAUACGCCCUACGGGGCAAAGUGGACCUCUGAUUCAAGUUCAUGCCGAUGGAUGAGCCCGCGGCCGAUUAGCUAGUUGGUGGGGUAAAGGCCUACCAAGGCGACGAUCGGUAGCUGGUCUGAGAGGACGAUCAGCCACACCGGAACUGAGACACGGUCCGGACUCCUACGGGAGGCAGCAGUGGGGAAUAUUGGACAAUGGAAGCAAUUCUGAUCCAGCCAUGCCGCGUGCAGGAAGACGGU